UCCGUAGGCGGGCAAUUAAGUCAGAGGUGAAAUCCCACAGCUCAACUGUGGAACUGCCUUUGAUACUGGUUGUCUUGAGUUAUAGUGAAGUAGAUAGAAUAUGUAGUGUAGCGGUGAAAUGCAUAGAUAUUACAUAGAAUACCGAUUGCGAAGGCAGUCUACUAACUGUACACUGACGCUAAUGGACGAAAGCGUGGGGAGCGAACAGGAUUAGAUACCCGGUAGUCC
rnacentral:rRNA from 1 species